rnacentral:tRNA from 1 species
GGUAGGAUGGCCGAGUGUUUAGGCGGCGGUUUGUAGCACCGUAUAUAGAGGUUUGACUCCUCUUCCUACUA